rnacentral:sRNA from 1 species
GGAGGGAUCUGGCUGUGACAUCUGUCACUCCUUUGACUGCUGACGGUUAAUUCUGACGGAUCUGGCUAGCUGCACAGAUGUCCACUUCCUCAUAUUCCAGGUGCACUGUUACUGAAGAUGUAUGUGCAAUGGGAAGCAUACCUUUUCUAUUAGAGGACAAUUCUUUGGUUAAAAGUGACCCCUCCUUCAAACGCACUUUAAAACCUGUAUCUUUUCUACAAAGGGCAAUCUCAAAGAGAUGCACAUCCCCAAUAACGCUCUAUCUGAUGGGCUCUCAUUUAG